AUGUUCUGUUUCCCACAAUCAACUGGCGAAGCUGCAAACACAGGGCUUUCUUCCCCCCGCGGACUUGGUCCCCGUACGAGCAGGGAUGACGUCCUUCAAGGGCGGGUCUCAAAUGGAGAACUUCCCCAAUUCGUCCGGGGGAGAAUGAGUAUGCUUCGUCCCCUUCUUGUUAAGAGGUGUCGGAUUUCCGAUCCAUCCCUUCCUCCGAGGUCUGCUGCAGUAUUAUGGCCUCCAACUGCACAGUCUCACUCCCGCCUCUAUCCUUCAUAUUGCGGGUUACGUCGCUCUAUGCGAGCUUUUCCUGGGCUGCGAGGCCCAUUUUGA
rnacentral:rRNA from 1 species